UCGAGCGGACAGAUGGGAGCUUGCUCCCUGAUGUUAGCGGCGGACGGGUGAGUAACACGUGGGUAACCUGCCUGUAAGACUGGGAUAACUCCGGGAAACCGGGGCUAAUACCGGAUGGUUGUUUGAACCGCAUGGUUCAAACAUAAAAGGUGGCUUCGGCUACCACUUACAGAUGGACCCGCGGCGCAUUAGCUAGUUGGUGAGGUAACGGCUCACCAAGGCGACGAUGCGUAGCCGACCUGAGAGGGUGAUCGGCCACACUGGGACUGAGACACGGCCCAGACUCCUACGGGAGGCAGCAGUAGGGAAUCUUCCGCAAUGGACGAAAGUCUGACGGAGCAACGCCGCGUGAGUGAUGAAGGUUUUCGGAUCGUAAAGCUCUGUUGUUAGGGAAGAACAAGUGCCGUUCAAAUAGGGCGGCACCUUGACGGUACCUAACCAGAAAGCCACGGCUAACUACGUGCAGCAGCCGCGGUAAUACGUAGGUGGCAAGCGUUGUCCGGAAUUAUUGGGCGUAAAGGGCUCGCAGGCGGUUUCUUAAGUCUGAUGUGAAAGCCCCCGGCUCAACCGGGGAGGGUCAUUGGAAACUGGGGAACUUGAGUGCAGAAGAGGAGAGUGGAAUUCCACGUGUAGCGGUGAAAUGCGUAGAGAUGUGGAGGAACACCAGUGGCGAAGGCGACUCUCUGGUCUGUAACUGACGCUGAGGAGCGAAAGCGUGGGGAGCGAACAGGAUUAGAUACCCUGGUAGUCCACGCCGUAAACGAUGAGUGCUAAGUGUUAGGGGGUUUCCGCCCCUUAGUGCUGCAGCUAACGCAUUAAGCACUCCGCCUGGGGAGUACGGUCGCAAGACUGAAACUCAAAGG
rnacentral:rRNA from 1 species